GUAACGCGUGGAUAACCUGCCUCACACUGGGGGAUAACAGUUAGAAAUGACUGCUAAUACCGCAUAAGCGCACAGUGCCGCAUGGCAGUGUGUGAAAAACUCCGGUGGUGUGAGAUGGAUCCGCGUCUGAUUAGCCAGUUGGCGGGUAACGGCCCACCAAAGCGACGAUCAGUAGCCGACCUGAGAGGGUGACCGGCCACAUUGGGACUGAGACACGGCCCAAACUCCUACGGGAGGCAGCAUG
rnacentral:rRNA from 1 species